AUGACCGGCGCCGAGGGCCAUUGGACGAAUGGUGUGGUGGUGGAGGUCGAUGUCGGCAGCGCUCAGAAGCAAAGAGGUCCAGCAGCCAUACCAAAGCCGGCAAAGAGUCUAGGGUUUGAAGGGAAAGUUGGAGUUGUUUGUCCUGUCGGCAGGAUCGUCGCAUCCUUCGAGGACCUCUUCAGCCCACCUCCCUCUCCGGCGGCGCUCUCCCCUUCCUCCGGCGCCCUCUCCUCUGGGACCUCUCCCUCUGCUCCUGCUGCAUCCUCCACCACCAUCGCUGCCCUCUCCUCCUCCACUGCUCCCUCCUCCAGCCACUCCCCUCUCAGCAUCCACAACGAUCACAUCUCCAACUAUGUCAAAUUCAAACUGGAUCCUGCUGAGAACAAUUUCUCCAAGUGGCGCACCUUCUUCCGCAUCGUCCUCCUUCAGUAUCGCGUGCAGGAUCAUGUCGACAGCCCGCCCCCUCGCGGUGCCGACGCCGAUUGGCUCGCCGUUGACCAGCGUCUAGUUCUCUGGAUGCUUUUCACCCUGGCUGAUCCUCUCCUCGAGCUCAUCUCUGGCGGCGUCCUCGACGCCUACACGGCCUGGCACCGCAUCGCCGACUACUUACUCGCCAACCAGGGCGCUCAGAUCCUCCACCUCACUCGCCGGUACCGCAACCUGCAGCAGGGUGACCUUCCCGUCAUCGAAUACGCUCGACGCCUCAAGGCUCUUGCGGACAGCCUCGCCGACGCGGGUGCUACCGUCUCCGACAAUGACCUCACCAUGCAGCUCCUCCACGGGCUCUCUCCCCGGUUCGAGACGAUCCGUAUCGUGCUGGGCGACACGAACCCGCUCCCACCCUUCGGCGUCGUCCGUUCUCGGCUCGAGCUGGCCGAGACAAUGAACAUCUUUGUCAAGAACCCCACCGGAACAACCAUCCAGAUCUGGGUUCACCCAUUAGACACCUUCCGUUCCGUCAAGGAGAAGAUCCAGAAGCGGUAUCACCUCAUCUUCAGUGGAGUGCAACUAGAGGAUGACAGUACAUUUGCCGAUUACAACAUCCAGCAGGACUCCAUUCUUGACCUUGAAGAGAAGACACAGAUGUACGUGAUGGAGACACUAAUGGGCAGGAUAAUCAACAACCUUGACACUGACAGCCUAGACACUAUCGACGACGUGAAGGCCAAGAUCUAUGACCUCGAGGGCUUCCCCAUAGAUCAGCAGUGCCUCAUCUUCGCGGGCAAGCGUCUAGAGAACGGGAGCCGCACCUUGGCAGACCACGACAUCUUCAAGGAGUCCACAAUACUUCUUGUCCUCCUCCCAUGUAUUCCGAGAGGAGACAUGAUGGAGAUUUUCGUGAAGGUGCUGACUGGGAAGACCAUCACUCUCAAGGUUGGGAGCUUGGACACCAUUGAUAGCGUCAAGGUGAAGAUCUAUGAGAGGAACUACGCCCCUUUCCCGAAAGAGCAACGCCUCAUCUUUGCUGGCAGGCAGCUGGAGAGCGGCACCUUGGCGGACUACAAGAUCCCGGCUACAAUCGAGGACCCGAACUACUCUGGUGUUGAUGAUGAGGUGAUGGUGAUGUGUGAGCAUGGCCAGCUGGCGAAGAGGCAUGUUUGCUUCGAAGGGAUUAGCACUGGGAGGAGGUUCAUUGCCUGUGGACUUGAUGAAGCAAGCAGUUGUGGUGUUGUUCAUUGGGUAGAUGAGGAGUGGCCAGAGCAUCUGCAGAAUGCUCUUCACAAACUAUGGCUUUUGUAUGAGGAUUGCCAGCGUGCUAAUAGGAUGGCAUGUCUGGAACAUUCAUCACUUGUCCACAAUCUCAUAUCACAGAAGAACAAGCUACAGGAGACUUAUGAGAAGCUUGUUGAGGAUGUGAACAACCUACUUGAUACCCAGGACAAUAUUCCCAAGGAAAAUGAAGUCCAACAAGGUGAACAUGAGGAGAUCACUCCUCCUUUGGUCAACAAUAUUUCAGCUUUGAAGGAACAGCUGGGUGCAAUGGAUGCUGAUAACAAAGAACUGAAGCAAAAGGUUGACCAGUUGAAGAGCAUUCAGGUUGCCCAAGGUAAUGUGAUUAGGAAUCUGAAGUUUGCUCAUUUGAAGGAGAAGGAAAAGUUGAGCACUGAGAGGAGGAAUUUGGAGUUUCACAUUGCUGAUCUUGUCAAAGCUAGUGACAAGAACAAGAGAAAGCUGAAGGACAUCAAGGAUAUUUGCGAUGAAGAGUGA
rnacentral:rRNA from 1 species